CGCGUGUAUGAAGAAGGUUUUCGGAUCGUAAAGUACUGUUGUUAGAGAAGAACAAGGAUAAGAGUAACUGCUUGUCCCUUGACGGUAUCUAACCAGAAAGCCACGGCUAACUACGUGCCAGCAGCCGCGGUAAUACGUAGGUGGCAAGCGUUGUCCGGAUUUAUUGGGCGUAAAGCGCGCGCAGGCGGUCUUUUAAGUCUGAUGUGAAAGCCCCCGGCUUAACCGGGGAGGGUCAUUGGAAACUGGAAGACUGGAGUGCAGAAGAGGAGAGUGGAAUUCCACGUGUAGCGGUGAAAUGCGUAGAUAUGUGGAGGAACACCAGUGGCGAAGGCGACUCUCUGGUCUGUAACUGACGCUGAGGCGCGAAAGCGUGGGGAGCAAACAGGAUUAGAUACCCUGGUAGUCCACGCCGUAAACGAUGAGUGCU
rnacentral:rRNA from 1 species